rnacentral:hammerhead_ribozyme from 1 species
AUCUAGUUGACGAAUCCUAAAUAAGACGAAACGCGUGUCCGGGAU